GAUGAAGAACGCAGCGAAAUGCGAUAAGUAAUGUGAAUUGCAGAAUUCAGUGAAUCAUCGAAUCUUUGAACGCACCUUGCGCUCCUUGGCAUUCCGAGGAGCAUGCCUGUUUGAGUGUCAUUAAAUUCUCAAGACCUGUCUGCUUUUUUGAUAGGUAUUGGAUUUUGGGGGUUGCAGGCUGUUUCAAAUAAACAGCCUUGCUCUCCUUGAAUGUAUUAGUGGAGAAAAGCCAUUGAACUCCAUUGGUGUGAUAAAACCUAUCAAUGCCAGGAGCAAUAUCACUACUUCUCUCUGCUGUCUAACUGUGACUGUCUGUAUUAAUUAGUAUGGAUGGGGACAACUUGACCAACUUGACCUCAAAUCAGGUAGGACUACCCGCUGAACUUAAGCAUAUCAAUAAGCGGAGG
rnacentral:misc_RNA from 1 species